rnacentral:rRNA from 1 species
ACACAGGACCUCCGUGGCUGUCUGUGGCUGUCCGUGUGUGUCUGUGUGUGUCCGUCAGCACACAUAGGACAUCCGUGGCUAUCCAUCAGUACACAUAUCAGCACGUUGGUCCCUGGACUCAGCACGCUGGUCCUUCCCGUGUACUGUUUGGGUGAUUUUGGCCCACGUGGGCUGUCUGUUCAGUACACGCAGGACGUUCGUGUGUUUCCGUCAGCACACACAGGACGUCCGUGGCUGUCUAUCUGUGUCUGUGUGUGUCCGUCAGCACACACCGGACAUCCGUGGCUGUCCAUCAGUACACAUAUCAGCACGUUGGUCCUUGGACUCAGCAUGCUGACCCUUCCCGUGGACUAUUCGGGUGAUUUUGGCCCAUGUGGGCUGUCUGUUCAGUACACACAGGACGUCUGUUGGUGUCCGCCAGCACACACAGGACGUCCGUGGCUGUCUGUGGCUGUCCCUGUGUGUCCGUCUGUGUCUGUCAGCACACACAGGACGUCCGUGGCUGUCCAUCAGUACACAUAUCGUCACGUUGGUCCUUGGACUCAGCACGCUGGCCCUUCCUGUGGACUGUUUGGGUCAUUUUGGCACACGUGGGCUGUCUGUUCAGUACAUACAGGACGUCCGUGGGUGUCCACCAGCACACACAGGACAUAUGUGGCUGUCAGUGGCUGUCCGUCAGCACACACAGGACGUCUGUGGCUGUCUGUGUGUGUCCGUGUGUGUCCGUCUGUGGCCGUCAGCACACACAGGACGUUCGUGGCUGUCCAUCAGUACACAUAUCAGCACGUUGCUCCUUGGACUCAGCACGCUNNNNNNNNNNNNNNNNNNNNNNNNNUCCAACUGCUCGUUAACCUAGAACCCACAAAUGGUGUUGGUCGAUUAAGAUAGCAGGACGGUGGUCAUGGAUGUCGAAAUCCGCUAAGGAGUGUCUAACAACUCACCUGCCGAAUUAACAAGCCCCGAAACUGGAUGGCGCUGAAGCGCACGACCUAUACCCGGCCGUAGGGGCAAGAGCCAGGCCUCGAUGAGUUGGAGGGCGCGGCGAUCGCUGCAAAACAUAGGGCACGAGCCCGAGUGGAGCGGCCGUCGGUGCAGAUCUUGGUGGUAGUUGCAAAUAUUCAAAUGAGAACUUUGAAGGCCGAGGCGGGAAAGGUUCCAUGUGAACCGCACUUGCACAUGGGUUACUCGAUCCUAAGAGUCGGGGAAACCCGUCUGAUAGCGCUAAUGCGCAAAAUUUGAAAGGAUCCGGGUUUAAAUUCCAGAAAACAGGGUACAUGAUGGUUGACGGCAACGUUAGGAAGUCCGGAGACGCUGGGCAGAAUUCAGAAAGAGUUAUGUUUGUUUAGCAGCCUGCCCACCCUGGAAACUGCUCAGCCAGAGGUAGGGUCCAGCGGCUGGAAAAGCACCGCACGUCGGGUGGUCUCCGGUGCAUUCCCAGCGGCCGUUGAAAAUCUGGAGGACCGAGUGCUGCUCACGCCCGGUCGUACUCAUAACCGAAUUAGGUCUCCAAGAUGAACAGUCUCUGGUCAAUGGAACAAUGUAGGCAAGGGAAUGCGGCAAAAUGGAUCCGUAAUUUCGGGAAAAGGAUUGGGUCUGAGGGCUGGGCUCGGGUCCCAGUUCCGAACCUGUCGACUGUUAGCGGGCUGCUUGAGCGGCUAACGUGGCGAGAGUGGACCGCCUCGUGUCGGCCGGUGGGCGGACUGGGAACGGCGCUUUCGGGAUCUUUCCCCGAGCGUCGGACAGCCAACUCAAAACUGGUACGGACAAGGGAAAUCAGAAUGUUUAACUAAUACAAAGCAUUGUGAUGGUCCCUGCGGAUGCUACCGCAAUGUGAUUUCUGCCCAGUGCUCUGUAUGUCAAAGUGAAGAAAUACAACCAAGCGCGAGUAAACGGCGGGAGUAACAAAAAAACUUUAAUUUGGGGGGGGACUCUCUUUAGGUAGCCAAAUCCCUCGUCAUCUAAUUAGUGACGCACAUGAAUGGAUUAACGAGAUUCCCAUUGUCCCUGUCUACUAUCCAACAAAACCACAGACAAGGGAAAGGGCUUGGCAAAAUCAGCAGGGAAAGAAGACACUGUUGAGCUUGAAUCUAGUCCGACUUUGUGAAAUUACUUGAGAGGUUUAGAAUAAGUGGGAGCUCCAGCGCAAGUGAAAAAUACCACAACUUUUAACGUUAUUUUACUUACUCCGUGACUCGGAGGCGGGGUAACAACCCCUUUUUUUAGACCCAAGACUCGCUGCGGCGGGUCAAUCCGGGCGGGGGACAUUGUCAGGGUGGGGAGUUUGGCUGGGGCGGCACUUCUGUUAAAAGAUAACGCAAGUGUACUAAGAUGAGCUCAACGAGAACAGAAAUCUCGUGUGGAACCAAAGGGGAAAAGCUCGUUUGAUUUGAUGUUUUCAUGUCCGAAUACAAACCGUGAAAGCUGACUUGUGGCAGCCAAGCGUUCAUAGCCGCGUUGCUUUUUGAAUCUUCGAUGUCGGGUCUUCCUAUCAGUGUGAAGCAGAAUUCACCAGUUGUUGGAUUGUUCACCCACCAAUAGGGAACGUGAGACGGGUUUAGACCGUCGUGAGCUGACGGACACACAAAGAAACACACAGACACACACGGACACCCACGGACGUUUUGUGUGUGCUAACGGACAAAAACGGACACAAACGGACAAAAACGGACACACACAGACAGCCACAGACGUCCUGUGGUGUGCGUGACCGACAGCCACUGACAGCCAAUAGGUCCUGUGUGUGCUGGUGGACACCCACGACCGUCAUGGAUGUUUACUGACAGACAGCCACGGUGUGCCA